AGGAAAGAUUGAGAAAGGCAUGAUGAAAUAACUACCGUGUUUCCCCGAAAAUAAGACAGUGUCUUAUGUUAAUUUUUGCUCCCAAAGAUGCUCUAGGUCUUAUUUUCAAGGGAUGUCUUAUUUUUCCAUGAAGAAGGAUUCACAUUUAUUGUUGAACAAAAAAAAUGAACAUUUAUUAUAUACUGUACAGUAGUUGUCAUCACAAACCAGCAUAACCAGACAAACUGUGAAUUCUAUCAAGAAUUUCUUGUUACUACCAAUAUUUCCAUGUACAACAAUCUAUGGUACAUACAUUUACUGAUCUUGCAUACUCUGGUGUUCUGUUCGGCGGGCAGGCUUCCAAACACAAACUUUGCUAGGUCUUACUUUCGGGGGAGGCCUUAUAUUUAGCAAUUCAGCAAAACUUCUACUAGGUCUUAUUUUCUGGGGAUGUCUUAUUUUAGGGGAAACAGGGUAAGGGGCAUGUAAUAAUGGCUGAGUCAUAAUCAUGUGAGGUUUAUGACAAAGCAUUUCAUCAGUCAUUUGACCCUUACUGAUGACAAGUCAGCAGGUGGUUAUAAAGGGAGAUGAAAUGACCAAUCUCUCUGUUUCCUGUGUGAAUCUCAUCAUGAAUAUCUCUUCGUGUGUGAUUCUCUGAGGAUCGUUUCAUUCUACAUUGUUACUGAAAUCAAGAGGAAGGAAGACUUGCAUACUUUGUAACUAUGGAAAAUAUGAAGCUCUCCAGACUAAUUAGAAGAUUCAAACUGAGCAUAUUGAAUUCCCACCGUGAAUAAAAAUGACAGAUACAAGAA